UGAGAAAAGCAGAAGUGAGAACUUCUCGCCUUGCGACUAACGUUGUCUGGCCCUACAUGUCAAGUUUCUUUAUAGAAACAUAAUGUGUGCGGGCUUGAUUUGUCAAGUCCGCUUUGUUUUUCUCUA
rfam:Streptococcus agalactiae LMG 14747 ctg7180000010240, whole genome shotgun sequence.